rnacentral:rRNA from 1 species
ACGCUGGCGGCGUGCCUAAUAAUGCAAUUUGAGCGAAUGGAUGGGAGCUUGCUCCCCCAAGUUAGCGGCGGACGGGUGAGUAACACGUGGGCAACCUGCCUGUAAGACUGGGAUAACUUCGGGAAACCGGAGCUAAUACCGGAUACGUUCUUUCCUCGCAUGAGGAAAGAUGGAAAGACGGUUUCGGCUGUCACUUACAGAUGGGCCCGCGGCGCAUUAGCUAGUUGGUGAGGUAAUGGCUCACCAAGGCAACAAUGCGUAGCCGACCUGAGAGGGUGAUCGGCCACAUUGGACACUGAGACACGGCUCAUACUCCUACGGGAGGCAGCACUAGGGAAUCUUCCGCAAUGGACGAAAGUCUGACGGAUCAACGCCUCGUGAGCGAAGAAGGCCUUCGGGUCGAACAGCUCUGUUGUAGAGGAGAAACAAUGUGCAACAGCAGCUGCUGUGUCCUUCGAAGGGCCAAACCAGAAUGCCUAGGUUAAUCUAAGGCCAUCAGCCCCUGUAAUA